rfam:Mus musculus chromosome 12, GRC primary reference assembly.
UGGAUCAAUGAUGAAUGUCUGUGAGCAUUCUUAGAGUCAUGAAUCAUGACGACAAAUUUAAUUCUGAGAUCAAC